rnacentral:rRNA from 1 species
ACUUGAUCUCAAAUCAGGCAGGAUGACCCGCUGAAUUUAAGCAUAUCAGUAAGCGGAGGAAAAGAAACUAACCAGGAUUCCCUUAGUAACGGCGAGUGAAGCGGGAAAAGCCCAAUCUGAGAAGCUGGUCGGCCCCUGCGCCGGUCCCGCGUUGUAGAUUGAUGGGGCGUUGCCUAGCGGCAGACCUUUCGGCCAAAGUCUCUUGGAACAGAGCGUCAUAGAGGGUGACAACCCCGUGUGUGGCCGGACGACAUCACAGUCUGUCGCGUCGAUGGCGCGUUUCCUUAGAGUCGGAAUGUUUGGGAUUGCAUUCCAAAGCGGGUGGUAAACUCCAUCUAAGGCUAAAUACUGGCGAGAGACCGAUAGCGAACAAGUACCGUGAGGGAAAGUUGAAAAGCACUCUGGAGAGAGAGUCAAACAGUACGUGAAAUUGCUAGCAGGGAAACGUUGGGCACCAGUACGCGGCAAUCAAUGUCGAUGAUCAGUCGGCCGGCGCGGCGGCUAUUGCGUGGAGCUUCCGCUUCAGAGACAGCCCCAGGGCUGCUCACGCGCAGUAGCCGGCCGUGCGGGCCGGUGCACUCUUCGACAGCCGGGUCAACAUCGGUUGCUGGCGUCCGAUAAGCAGCACGGCAAGGUAGCAAUGCAGCGGUCUUUACGGCCGUUGCGCUGAACUUAUAGGCCGGGCAGAGCGAGGACGGCGGCGACCGAGGAGGCAUUGCGGCUCGCGCGCCUUUCGGGGUGCAGGGCGUGCUGGCAGGGUUUUGGUUGCCCGUGGCGCUGGACAGCUUGCUGACCAGGGUUUACUUUGGUGCGCUUCGGCGCAUCAGCGGCGGCCGCUCUGUCGGUACAAGCCACUAGCGAGUCCAUGACGGUUGACGAAAUGGUUCUCAACGACCCGUCUUGAAACACGGACCAAGGAGUCUAACAUGUCUGCGAGUGUUUGGGUGGAAAACCCGAACGCGGAAUGAAAGUGACGAGGUGUGGCUGCGUGCCCACCCGCUNGUAGGAACCGGAACGCUUCGGCGCGCCGGUGCANUACCGACCGACCUGUUGCCCUCNGUGGCGGUAGGUUUGAGUUGGAGCAGUCCUGUUAGGACCCGAAAGAUGGUGAACUAUGCCUGAGCAGGAUGAAGCCAGAGGAAACUCUGGUGGAGGUCCGUAGCGGUUCUGACGUGCAAAUCGAUCGUCGG